UCGAACAAGAGCUGGCAGUUUAGUUUUAGGUUCUAGUGAGUGACGGUGUCUCUCGAGCGACGGAAAGAGUGUGUGUGCGUUUCAUUGACUCUUUCGAACAUAUACGCACAGCGAGAAUUAAUUACGGUGGCACUUCAUUGGAGGUGGGAAGAGAAUUUUCAUUUUUUGAGAUCGUCAGGCUACGCGUCGUCACUAUAAAUUGAACGAGCGACAAUGGAUUCCCUGCAGAGAGGCACCGUCACAACGAACAAUUCACUCUACACGCCCCCCACGGGGGAUUCCCCGACUGACGGCUGCGAAGUUCGUCUCCAGGCGCGGGCAGAAACGACCCCCGCGACUCGGAAACGACGAAUGAUAGAACAGCCGUCGUCGCAGACACCAAAAACUCCGAGACAGGGGUUUCCAGACCCCGACGGAGAUGAAACGAAUCGAGAGACAGACCUCCCCGAGAGCAGGGAGGAUCAAGCUCUCCACGAUGAUGUCAGACUGACCAAAAAGCCGCCAAUGCAUCCAGACGUUUCCGGGAAACGUCAGGUCGAGGUGCAAACAUUGAAUCGAAGAAAUGACUCAGCGAGACUCAGAAAGACCAUUCAGUGGCUUGAGGACGGCGCGCGAAAGCUGCGAGAGGAUCUCGCUGACGCCAGAUCCGAGCUCCAUGAGGAGAGACGAGCGUCGAAGAUCCUGAAGCGUGAGGUGGAAGUGGCUGUACGCGAAGCUCGAUGUGCGGAGGCUGCCAAACAUCAAAAAAUUAUUAAUGAACUGAAAUUAAGACUCGCGCAAUCGCCCUCGCGUGCCCCGGAUUCAGCCCAACUGAACAGUGUUAAGGUUGAAAUGCUGAAGGAGGAGAAUCACAGGCGGGAAAUAACCAUUGCCAGAAAAAGACUCGCUGAGGCGGAUGAAACGAUACGAAAGCUCAGGUCAAGCUCUCUCGAUCCCGGUGGCACCGACAUGAAUAAAAGACGCAAGUUGAAUGCCCCUGAUGUUCAGAGAAUGGAUAAUGAGAUGAGACGGUUACGGGAGGCUAAUAAACGACUCGAGGAGAAGCUGCAAAUUGUCACGGAGGCUGAGCGAGUCCGUACUUUUGAGCUGCGAGUCCAACACGAGAAUUACGAAGCCGAGAUAUGCGCUCUCAAGAAAGCACAGCGCACCGAUACCAUUAGAAUGAUGGAGGAGAUACGGAGCAAGGAGAGAGAUAUCGAGAAACUGGAGAAACUUGCUAGGCGAAAAUGGAGGGCCAGGGAGACAGAACUGAUGAGGAAACUACGGGAGAGCGAAAGGGGUCACCAGAUUCGGUUGGGGCCUCCGAUUGAGGAUAAAAUAAAUCGACAUCGAACUACUGACUCAUGCAAAGCUGACUACGACGUGAGCGAAGCGGACCGCCUCCGUGAGGUAGCGAUAGAGCAGCAAGAGAUAAUCGAAUUCCUGCGUCAAGCUCUGAAAGAGCGCGAGCGCAAAUUGGACCAGCUCUCAAACAAAAAGCGGAAAGAGGAAUUCUACAAACAAUGGCUGGAGCUCGAGCCGGUAGCAGAAGUUGACGACGAAGAGGAGCACGAAGAGGAGGACAGCGCAUUGUCUAGUGCCCCGUCCUCGCUGUCGCCGCAGCCGGGCGGUCACUGGCAGUCGACCGGCGUGUCUCGUGAGACGUACGAAGGACUUCUCCUCGAAUUCGAAGAGCUCCAGACAAAGUACCUCGAGGCCCAGCAGGAGUUGUCCCACGCCAAAACCCAAGUACGCGACCUGGAGCAGGCGCUGCUACAGGAGACGAGAGGAAGUCAGAAUAGCCGGCGUGUACUCAGCGAUAAGCUGAAAGAAACGGAAGAGCGGGAGUCGUGUUUACAGGCUGAAAUUUCAGAGCUGCGGGAGCAGAACGAACUACUCGAAUUUCGUGUGCUUGAGUUGGAAGAGACUGGUGGCCCCAGAGAGUCUCCUGAUACUGCUGACAGUGGCAUUGUAUCACCCGAGCCGAUUCAACUCUUCAAAGACCAGAGCACUAAGCAACAACGGGCGAUAGCGACUGUUAUACCUUACAACUCUUACACCCAGUCGUUGUCCCCGGUACCUGUGCAGAAGCCCCCGCUGUCCCUUCAGGAGAGCGGGAUCUUCGAGGAGGAUGACGAUGAUCAGGUGGAAUGGGCCACCUGUGGUACACAGACUGAGACCCCCUCUGGCGAUCUGCUGCAAGAGGUUCAGAGACUUCAGGAACUUCGGGAGAGAAUACAGGAGAGGGCGGUCAAGGUACCUUUAGAGAGUUUAGAGACUGAUGAUCGGUUGACCUCUUGCAAAGAACGCAUUCAAGAUCUGGAGGAACGAUUAGCGAUCUAUGAGGCGGACGAGAUUGCGAGAUCACAGGAUCAGUUAGUUGCCAAGCAGAGGGAGGAGGAUGUGCUCGAUGAAAAUUAUAAACUUACGGAGAGGGUUUAUUGGUUGGAGAACGAACUGAGGAAUCUUCAAGACGCUGGGAGGAAUCUGGCGGAUGUUGGGACCAUGGCGGGCGUGAUUAAUCCUCAGAAUUUUGAGGAAUUGACUGACGUCUCGAGUACAGUAGCUUUGGAUAUCCCUGCGUCGACGCCUUGUGGCAGAAUCUUUUACGAUGCUUUGAAGGAGAUUGACGAUUCGGAAAUUUGUUCUCCGAUGAGAGCGCAGAGGAAGGAAUGGAGUGGAUGCUCUGAAUCAGUGAAGAGGGGGCCAGAAGCUGAUUGCAAUGACUGCAAUAGGAUGAGAAAGGAUUAUAAUGAACAAAUUCAACAACUCGCUGCCUCUGAGUGCUCACUCCGAAGGAGAAUUGUGGAUUUGGAAACGAGAGAGAUCGCUUUCGCCAAGACUCUUCAGAAGGUCGAUGCCACGUGGACUCAACUUGAGUUCUCCUAUGCUUCAAACCUGAGGAAAAGUGAACAGGAACUUGAAAAGAAGGUCCUUGUUGCUCAGAGAAUGCUCGACAGAAUCGGCGGACUUGAGGAGACGAUCCGCAAUCAUGUGUGUGAGGGGAGUUUUGAUGGUGUCGACAUGAAGGAAAGGAAGGAGGGGGUUGAGGAAGGGGUUCAAACGGAUGAAUCAAUGGAGAUUGAUGAGGACUCGGUUAAAAGUGGAGUUCAUCGAUCUACGCAAACUGAAGAGACUGAAUGUAACGAGGAUUUGCACACCGGAGACAUGAUCCGAAAUCCUUCAGGCCAAAUAAUAGCGGAGUUAGCGCGCGAGGCUCGGGAAGAAGACGAGGUGGCCGUUGAAUCAUCUCGCGCAGUGUCACGUAUUCGCGUGCAACCUGAUGCAACAACUGCCAAUGAUCUUGUCAAAAUAACCGACUCUGAUACGGAUAAGAAGAUUGUUUACUUUCGUUGGAGAUGAGACAUCUGUCCUUUUUUUUGUUGCGGUGACUGUUAUCGUCGAGACUGUGGUUUAGCUAUUACAUCAAGCUUCUCACGUGACCGGCACAAACUCCCGACGUUUGAUAAAAAAAACUGCUCCUUUCUCAACAACGAUAAGGACAAUACUGCUGGCGCUGCUUGGUACCCAAGUGAUGACCAGGAACGGUACGUCCUACCGCACGAACGAGGACACUUCAAACAAUCGUAAAAUUCAAAUUUCCACGCUAAAUACUGUCAUUCAAUAUUCAAAUCUCCCCUGAAAUCUCCUCCAAUUUACGAAACGUCGAGAAUCCCAGCUCACCCACCACUUCCAAACAAUUUACCCAAACAUACCUACUAGCGAUCGACCGAUAUCACGAAUUGAAUCUCAUCGAACGCUACGAGAAAAUGUCGAAAGUAAUGAAAAAUGACGAGUGACGUUUACAAUACUGUUUACAAAAAACGUGUGUUUGUGUACCUAUUCAUUUAUUCUACGUUUGAUUUUCUUCCGAUUUCCCUGUUGAGACUUUAUAUAUGUACGUCAUCACUAUGUCAAUCGUUUAGCGAAUAACAAUGAAGAGCGAGGGGCUAUUCACAGGCGAAUUGGGUGACACCGCGAUUACAAAAUGUAAUAGAUUACCCAGGAUUACAGGACUGA